rnacentral:lncRNA from 1 species
UUCCAUCAACGAGUCAGGCCCCGGCACCUAGCACCUCGGUGCGCAGUGCCCCGGCGGCACCGGCCAUGCCGACCACACGAGUGGCGUCGGACAAGCCUCCCCGGCACCGGACCUCGGCGGCACCGCAAGCACAACAAGUGCCUCGGCGCCGGUCAUUAUCCCCGGGGCAUAAAAAAGCCCAUAAGACGGGGACCUCCGUGCCGAAGACGCCGGCUCCCCCAGUGCCGGGGGUAGAGCCGCGUCCACCUGUGGAGCACCGGAAACAGGUGCCUCCAGCACCGUCGACUCCGGCGCCAAGGCCAUCGAGUCCGGUGCAGAUAGCGUCUCCACCGAGACCGGCAGUGAUACAGUGCCUCCCGUCGACUCCAGAGACCUUCGCGGCGGCGAGAGACUUAAUAGCUCUCACGGAGCCGGCACCGCAGGCACCGUUGACUCGUCCGGUCCAGUCUAGGGGGAAACCUGCCUUGAUGCGCCCUCCAUCGCAAGGGCUGGAACCACAGCACCGGUCCAGGUCCCGAAGCAGGUCCCCACGCCGCUCGCAGUCCCGGCGCCGAAUAUCACCUCGGCACCGGUCGUACUCGCGGCCAAGAUCUUCGUCGCGGCACCGCUCUACGUCUCGGCACCGCUAUGAUCGUUGGCACCGAUCAACAUCGAGACGUAGUUCUCGGCACCGCUAUGGUCGACGCUCGACGUCGAGAGGCCGCUCCCGGCACCGGGCCUACUCCAGGUCAUCGUCGAGGUCCAGAUCCGACUCCCGGCACCGACGAGGUCAUCGGCACCGGUCGCGGUCCCGGCACCGAUCGCCGGCACCGCGUAGAGAUAGAACAUCUCCGGACCGGCACCGUGCGGCACCGCAGCCCACGGGAUUUGUCUCGACGCUCUCGGCACCGCCAUGGCCAUCGAGAUCGGUGUCUCGCUCCUCUGAGGACCUAUCGAGAUCGGCAUACCCGCCUCAGGGGCAAGCCGAGGAACAGGACUUGGGCCAUUGGCAGGAGAUAACAGAGGACCAUACUCAUGGCCCAUCUCACUGGUCGUUCUGGACCCCGUGGGCGUACCAUCAGGCACAAGGGGCUCCAAUAGCUUCGACCUCUCGCUCGGGUCACUCCGAUAGAAGGGCCCCAGAGUCCACCAUCUCUCGGCCUCCGCCAGGGGGCAUGGAGGCUUCCGUGUCCGCACCACCCGACACCAUGGACCCAAGUGCAGGUGAUGCCCCGGC